UGGGGAAUAUUGCACAAUGGGCGCAAGCCUGAUGCAGCCAUGCCGCGUGUAUGAAGAAGGCCUUCGGGUCGUAAAGUACUUUCAGCGGGGAGGAAGGGAGUAAAGUUAAUACCUUUGCUCAUUGACGUUACCCGCAGAAGAAGCACCGGCUAACUCCGUGCCAGCAGCCGCGGUAAUACGGAGGGUGCAAGCGUUAACCGGAAUUACUGGGCGUAAAGCGCACGCAGGCGGUUUGUUAAGUCAGAUGUGAAAUCCCCGGGCUCAACCUGGGAACUGCAUCUGAUACUGGCAAGCUUGAGUCUCGUAGAGGGGGGUAGAAUUCCAGGUGUAGCGGUGAAAUGCGUAGAGAUCUGGAGGAAUACCGGUGGCGAAGGCGGCCCCCUGGACGAAGACUGACGCUCAGGUGCGAAAGCGUGGGGAGCAAACA
rnacentral:rRNA from 1 species